rnacentral:rRNA from 1 species
AUUGAACGCUGGCGGCAGGCCUAACACAUGCAAGUCGAACGAGUGGCGGACGGGUGAGUAAUGUCUGGGAAACUGCCUGAUGGAGGGGGAUCACUACUGGAAACGGUAGCUAAUACCGCAUACCAUCGGAUUUGCCCAGAUGGGAUUAGCUAGUGGGUGGGGUAAAGGCUCACCUAGGCGACGAUCCCUAGCUGGUCUGAGAGGAUGAACAGCCACACUGGAACGGAGACACGGUCCAGCCUCCUACGGGAGGCAGCAGUGGGGAAUAUUGCACAGUGAGCGAAAGCCUGAUGCGGCCAUGCCGCGUGUAUGAAAAGGGCCUUCGGGUUGUAAAGUACUUUCAGCGGGGAGGCGUUACCCGCAGAAGAAGCACCGGCUAACUCCGUGCCAGCAGCCGCGGUAAUUC